UGGGGAAUAUUGCACAAUGGGCGCAAGCCUGAUGCAGCCAUGCCGCGUGUAUGAAGAAGGCCUUCGGGUUGUAAAGUACUUUCAGCGGGGAGGAAGGGAGUAAAGUUAAUACCUUUGCUCAUUGACGUUACCCGCAGAAGAAGCACCGGCUAACUCCGUGCCAGCAGCCGCGGUCAUAAGGAGGGUGCAAGGGUUAAUCGGAAUUACUGGGCGUAAAGCGCACGCAGGCGGUUUGUUAAGUCAGAUGUGAAAUCCCCGGGCUCAACCUGGGAACUGCAUCUGAUACUGGCAAGCUUGAGUCUCGUAGAGGGGGGUAGAAUUCCAGGUGUAGCGGUGAAAUGCGUAGAGAUCUGGAGGAAUACCGGUGGCGAAGGCGGCCCCCUGGACGAAGACUGACGCUCAGGUGCGAAAGCGUGGGGAGCAAACA
rnacentral:rRNA from 1 species